rnacentral:rRNA from 1 species
GGCAACAGCUCAAAUUUGAAAUCUGGCUCUUUCAGAGUCCGAGUUGUAAUUUGCAGAGGGCGCUUUGGCAUUGGCAGCGGUCUAAGUUCUUUGGAACAGGACGUCACAGAGGGUGAGAAUCCCGUAUGUGGUCGCUAGCCUUUGCUGUGUAAAGCCCCUUCGACGAGUCGAGUUGUUUGGGAAUGCAGCUCUAAAUGGGAGGUAAAUUUCUUCUAAAGCUAAAUACUGGCCAGAGACCGAUAGCGCACAAGUAGAGUGAUCGAAAGAUGAAAAGCACUUUGGAAAGAGAGUCAAAUAGCACGUGAAAUUGUUGAAAGGGAAGCGCUUGCAGCCAGACUUGCCUGUAGUUGCUUAUCCGGACUUUUGUCCGGUGCACUCUUCUGCGGGCAGGCCAGCAUCAGUUUGGGCGGUUGGAUAAAGGUCUCUAUCACGUACCUCUCUUCGGGGAGGCCUUAUAGGGGAGACGUCAUGCAACCAGCCUGGACUGAGGUCCGCGCAUCUGCUAGGAUGCUGGCGUAAUGGCUGUAAGCGGCCCGUCUUGAAACACGGACCAAGGAGUCUAACAUCUAUGCGAGUGUUUGGGUGUCAAGCCCAUACGCGUAAUGAAAGUGAACGGAGGUGGGAACCCUUUGGGUGCACCAUCGACCGAUCCUGAUGUCUUCGGAUGGAUUUGAGUAAGAGCAUGGCUGUUGGGACCCGAAAGAUGGUGAACUAUGCUUGAAUAGGGUGAAGCCAGAGGAAACUCUGGUGGAGGCUCGCAGCGGUUCUGACGUGCAAAUCGAUCGUCAAAUUUGGGCAUAGGGGCGAAAGACUAAUCGAACUAUCUAGUAGCUGGUUCCUGCCGAAGUUUCCCUCAGGAUAGCAGUAACGUAUUCAGUUUUAUGAGGUAAAGCGAAUGAUUAGAGGCCUGGGGGUUGAAACAACCUUCACCUAUUCUCAAACUUUA